rnacentral:lncRNA from 1 species
GAGGCCAGGCCCCAGCUCUAGGUGCUAGCCGUUCCUCCUUACCCCGCCCCCUUUCUUAACGACCGGGCCUCUUCCGGAGGCCUGCGGCAGAGUCGCCUAAGCAUUUGAAUGGACCUCAGCCCUAGGACCCUGGCGCCCUCGGAAACCGGAUCUGAGGUCCGGAUCACUAACGUUCAGAGAUGCAAGGGAAGCCGAGAAGUUGCCGAAAGGGCCUGAGAGCUGCUUCUCCUUCUCCCUGGGCAGCAAACCUCCAAGCCUGUGCGGGCCAAUCUUUGCAUCCUGGUAACCAGCGCUUUAUUUAGCGCCUAAUCGCUUUCCUGUCCUGCACCCGGGAAAGGCAGACCUGGCUCCCUCCUUUUAUUUGCAAGCCUCAAAACCAUCAAGACAGGCAAAGGAAUACAUCACAGAAACCUCAGAUACCGCCUCUGUAAAUAGGGUUAAAGAUGCCCCACUCCAAAAAUGGUUGCAAGCUCAACACGGCUCCUUUCCAGACACUCGAAGGGCGCGGACCUUCGCUGAGACGCCACCCACGCAAGUGGAGGAAGCACUUGCGCCACUGCUGAGCGGUUGGAAGGGGAACACUGCAGCGAUGACCCACGAGUGUCAACGAGACCAGGUGCCCAUUAGGGAAACAGAGAUGGAGAAGAAAUCACGCGCCAAGGUCUGAAAUUCGGCGUGGCUCUCACUCGACAUCUCCCCAUUCUCGCCACCCGUGCACCCGCCUGCAGCGGCGCACCGGGCUCGGUGCUGCACCUGCCUCCUGGCGCCUGCGCCACUGCCCCCGCGCGGGUCCCACCGCGCAGGACGCCCCUUCCUGCUUCCGACGUCUGCUGUGGAUCACACGCGGUCGCUGCCAAAGCCUCCAUUUCGGUUCUGACCCAGUGACUUUGGGGACGCCCAGGGAGGAGAUGUGGAGAGGAUGUGGCCAAGGUGAACCAGCCAGUGUAAGUGCUAAUGCUUCUGGCUUCUCGGUAACACCUACCCUGCCCCACCACCCAAAUCGGGCCUUGAUCAAAAAAGAAGCGUCUUGACAAUACAUUUUUAGACAUAAAUAAGUUGAAGGUGCCCACGGAGGGAGGUUGAAAACAUUUGAUUAUCAGGACAGAGUAGAAGCCUGUUUGGCUCAUCCUUUUGGCCAGCUCUAAAGCAGCAGUGGACACUUCUUUGCGAUUUUGCAAGGAUGUUUGUGAAUGUACUUUGUAACUCCUAGAAAAUAGGCAAAAAACCGUGAGUGGAUGUAGUCGCACCGCUGGCACCUGUAAGAACGCGCCCUAAAGCUGUGGAACUGCUAUUCAGGUUCCAGGCACACGUCUCAAGCCUCAAACCUCCAAGAGUUGCCUUAGCUGCUCAUUUUACUGGUAAGAAGACGGAGGUCAAGCCUGAAGAUAGUGGCUCUGCUGUUUUCUUAGGCUGCUUGAAGCUUUAGAUAAGCAGGAAAAUUCCAUCAAAGAAAUCCCUGUAUGUAAAUUGGGAGAAAAAGAUAUGAUGAAUAUUAAUGCAGAGGCCUCUGAACAAAUGGAACCUCCAUUUUCACAUCCAGCACAGGAUCAUUUGCAGCCAGACAACCUGAGAGUCAACCCCAACUCUACCUUUUACUAAUUGCAUGAUAUUGGGCCUCAGUUUGCUCAUCUGUAAAUUGGGUGCAGUGAUAGAAUCUAUCCCACAGGGUUUUGCUGAGCAUUAAAUGAGUUUAAACUUGUAGAUGGCUUAGAAUAAUGCCUGGCAUGUAGCAAGUACGCAGUUACUGGCGCCUGGUGUAUAUAGUAAGUACUCGAUAUACAUUAACUAUUUUUCAAAGACACCACAGCUCACCUGGGAAGGAAUCUCAGGUAUUUGCCUGAGAUUCAAGCAAACAAAUAUGGAAGCUACCAAAGGCUCAUGAAGCCUGAAGGAUCCUUGCAGAGAGAUGUUCUAAAUGUUGCCUAGAAAGGCAGUUUGGAGGGAGGCCUCUCCAGUCAGAGGUCUGGAUGCUAAGUUUAGCUCUGCCACAUAUUAGCCAGGUAAUUUUGAAGUAAUAAACAAUCUCUUUGUGCCUCCAUUUCUUCUUGUGUAAAAUGAGGGGCUGUUGUGAAGAUUAAAUAAAUACAUGUAAAGCAUUUAAAGCCAGACCUGGCAGAAAGGGUGCUUUAUGUUUGCUUUAAAAAUAUAUAUGUACAACAUUUUUCUCUAUGCCUGACAUUCAGUAAGAGCUCACUAUUGUCAGCUCUUAUUCCUUCUUGGUAUGUAAGCGGCCUUUACAGACAUUACCAGUGUAGGGAAAGAUGAGGUAGUUAGUAAAUGUUCUGGUAAUUGUGUGUGAUUGCUCAGAGACAAGGACUUUAGGGAUAUAAUCUGAGUUCAAGACUGACAAAACCACUCACUAGCUGGGUGGCCUUGCAUCAGUCACAGCCUGGCGGAGCUGGCUGCCACCUGUUCAAGGAAGAUAACAAUUUCCACUUAGCAGAGGAGGCUCCAGAAUUUCCCUAUAGGAAGAGAUUGGGGGUCUGGGGGAUGGUUGGAAGCUUGUCUUCAAACUGUUCUGGCAGAGAAAACAGGCUCUUGACUUAGAUUGAUUGUACGCUUGUGAUCUACUGGAAGGACUUCAGGACAUGGAGCGGUGCUUUAGCUGCCCUUUGCUGCCCAA